UAAAAUUUAAAUUCAUCGUAUUUAGAAAUAAAACUAUUUCUAAAAUUUCUAUAAUUUAAAUUAAUGCAUAAUUUGAGAAGCACUAAAACAUUUAAAGUAGAUUCCUAAAUUAAUGCCUAAUAAUUGCAUAAAUUUGGUUAAUCAAUUAAUUUCCUAAAUUAGUGCUAAUUAAUGCAUAAAUUUAGGAUCUCAAUUAAAAGUUUCUUUAAAUAUUGUAUUAUUUAAUUACCAAACUAACCUUGAAUAAAAUAAUCAUUUUACCUGCUAAGUAUUAAAGUUACAUUUUUACCCUCUAUUAAUCAACGGUUAAGAUCUUUUUAUUUUUUUUUAAAAAAAGUACCGAAUCAUUUCUCUUAUUUAUAAUAGUGACUAAAAUCCUAAUACGACUAGAAAUACAAAUCUAUUAAGAUUAGGAAUAAUCCAAACUAAAUUUAAUGAGAUAAUAU
rnacentral:lncRNA from 1 species